CCAAAGCCAUUUCAUUUUUAUCUAUUCUAUAUUUGUUUCCUGUGAAGAUUUUACUUUAGUGGAGUUAUGCUUUUAAAAAACUCUUCAGGAGUUCCUGUCGUGGUGCAGUUGAAAUGACUCCAACUAGGAUCCAUGAGGUUGUGGGUUCAAUCCCUGGCCUCGCUCAGUGAAUUAAGGAUCGGGCGUUGCCAUGAGCUCUAUACCUCUGAUUAGACCCCUAGCUGGGAACCUCCAUAUGCUGCAGGCGCAGCCCUAAAAGGCAAAAAAGAAAAAAUUAUUUUUGAGAAUUUGCAAUUUUACUUUACAAACCACCUUUCCACUCCUUUGUGCUAGAGAGAGUUGGGAGCCAAUGGGCUUUCACUCAGAACCCUGUUGGCUUAUCUAAUGCACACCCAAACCAGAUGCACCCAGUGAACUGUGAUGAAUACCCCAGCUAACCACAAUCAUGCUCCCCACAGCAUCCAACUGCACAGCCCUCCCUUGUUCCUCAGUCAACCAAGGCCCCCCCUGGGGUUAAAACCUGUUGUGCAGGGCAACCUCUCCCCCACUUAGACUCAUGCCUAGAUAUCCAAGAGAUCACAGCAGACAUUGUCACUGAUAUUUUUUCUUUCCUUUUGUUGGCUGUGCCUGUGGCAUGCAGAAGUUCCCGGGCCAGGGAUCAAACUUGCACCACAGCUGUAGCCAGAGCCACCACAGUGACAACACCGGCUGCUUCACCCUCUGAGCCGUGUGGGAACUCCUCACUGAACAUUUCUUUAAACUGAAUCUGGAAGCGUUAAGACAAACGACUCAGUAAUUCCCACUUCUAGCUUGCUUAGGUCAGGACGGUAUAUAGGGGAGAGAUGAAAUCAUGCAAUUAGAUCCCGAGAGCCUACAGAAUAAAACAUCACUGCUCCAAGUCACUCAGCUGACUAAACUCAGGAAAUUUUAUGCCCUUGGAUACAUUGCUUAUCCAAAGCUGUAUCUAAAAUCACUUAGAAAUCAAACAUUUCUAUUGAAUUGGAUUCAUGGGCGUGCAACCCAUGGAGUUCACACAGGGUCCAGACUUAAAAUGCCCCAUGCUUGGUUUACUGCUCUACUGUCUUCGUUUUGAAAUUCCAAAUAAUGUAAUCUUUGAAUUUAUAUUUUGUAAGUGAAGUCUGAUGGGAAAACGUAGCCUGUGCAAGAACAGAGGAGAUUAAGUGUUCUCCAUUAUUCACUGCCGAAUGUGCGUGUGAUUUUCUAGAUUUGCCCAGGAACGCUGAAUUCUGGUGGAGAUCCAAAAUGCCUGCGUUCAGUAAGACACAAAACAAGUACAAGGUAAGCGUGUUAUGUCCAAAACUAAGUGGGGCCCUGAUACCCCUGAGACCCUGUGCUUUCCAUUUACACCAGAACUUGCUUUGAGUGUAGAAAGCAAGCAAUGGCAUCCUAAAACACACAAAUGACUGAAAAAUGCUAUCACGCCCUUUCUUACUUGUGUUAAUUUCCUGUAUUAGCCAACUACUUACACUGAAAAUGACAGGGAAGGAAAGGGAAAGAUAGUGACCUAUAGUUCUUUUCCUUUCAGUUCUUUCUUACUCAUCAGUAAGCUGAAGAUAGUGCUUGUAGGAUGUGUGCAUAUCAAGAAGCAAAAUAAAGACAGUUGAGGUAUUUUUGUGCAGUGUUUCCACUGCUCUGAUAAGGACGAAAUAUCUGUGUGUGUAUAAGCUAUAAUAUAUGAACUGUGCAAUUUUGGCAAUUCUGCAUGAGUUAAAUGCUCUUAUACUUGCAUUUUAAAAAGGCAUUGCACAAUACAGAGAUGAACGUUAAAAUUCAUGUUAAAUUUAAAAUUUUAAUUUUUAUUUAUUUAGAAUGACAUUAAACAUAAAAUUAAAAAAAACCAUUGCAAAUUUAGAAAAGAACCUCAGAAGAAAGCAAAACUUUACAUUUUAGCACCUUUUUUCCAAACAGUUUAAGAUAUAGUUUAUAAAAAUGAAAUCUUGCCAUUUGUGACAA
rnacentral:lncRNA from 1 species